rnacentral:rRNA from 1 species
CCUACGGGGGGCAGCAGUGGGGAAUAUUGCACAAUGGGGGAAACCCUGAUGCAGCGACGCCGCGUGAGUGAAGAAGUAUUUCGGUACGUAAAGCUCUAUCAGCAGGGAAGAAAAUGGCGGUACCUGACUAAGAAGCCCCGGCUAACUACGUGCCAGCAGCCGCGGUAAUACGUAGGGGGCAAGCGUUAUCCGGAUUUACUGGGUGUAAAGGGAGCGUAGACGGCAGCGCAAGUCUGGAGUGAAAUCCCAUGGCUUAACCAUGGAACUGCUUUGGAAACUGUGCAGCUAGAGUGCAGGAGAGGUAAGCGGAAUUCCUAGUGUAGCGGUGAAAUGCGUAGAUAUUAGGAGGAACACCAGUGGCGAAGGCGGCUUACUGGACUGUAACUGACGUUGAGGCUCGAAAGCGUGGGGAGCAAACAGGAUUAGAUACCCCUGUAGUC